GUUCUCAUGAUAGUGAAUGGGUCUCACAAGAUCUGAUGGAUUUAAAGACGGGAGUUUCUCUGCACAAGCUCUCUCUUUUUGCCUGCUGCCGUCCACAUAAGAUGUGACUUGCUCCUCCUUGACUUUUGCCUUCCACCAUGAUUGUGAGGCCUCCCCAGCCACAUGGAACUGUUGGAGUGCAGUGGCACAAUCUCGGCUCACUGCAGUCUCUGCCUCCCGAGUAGGGAAUCAAGGGAUUCUCCUGCCUCAGCCUCCAGAGUGGCUGUGAUUACAGGAACCUGCCACCACGCCCAGCUAAUUUUUGUAUUUUUAGUAGAGAUGGGGUUUUGCCAUAUUUGCCAGGCUGGUCUCGACCUCCUAACCUUAGCCUCAGCCUCCCAAAGUGCUGGGAUUACAGGCAUGAGCCACCACGCCUGGCCAAAAUUAAAAUUUUUGUGCUUCGAAGGACACCAUCAAAAAUGUGAAAAGACAACCAACAUGUGUAUUCCGUUGAAAAUACCAUGGAACAUUAAGGAAAUGGUGGAGGAUGGGGUGAGGAGGCUGAGAAAAUUCAGUUACAUAACUGAAGUGCUGAAGAAUGAGGACCAAAGGGUGGAAACUGUGUGGAGGAGGAAGGAAAAUUGAAGCAUUUUCUCAGAAGAUCUGCCCCCUUACCCCACUACUCCCCCAGGACCAUCACAAUGAAGAUGGUAUCAUUACUUGCUCGUCAGAGCCAACAUUUGGACACUAUUAUUUACAAGAAGACUCUAACAAAAUUAUGCAAGAGCAAAAACUUAAGCCAGAGGACAAUGGAAAGAUUAAAAAAUGAUUUCAUAGCACGAGUAAAUGUCUAUCUAUCUGGGUCCUGCCAAACACAGAAUAGAGGGGAGAUCCUGGAGGAAUGACAGAGGAAACAAAGGCAUUUGGCUGCUAAUCUGCAACCCAAUCAUUCGUAAUCUACCAAACAAUCAUUGUCUACUUACGAUAAAUUAGAAUUGGGACAGUGUGCGAUGGAUGCUCCUCGUUCAUGGAAUACGUUCAGUUCUUCUGCAGAGAGGUAGCAGCCGUGUGCCAUCACUGUCUGGAGAGAAGAGUGCCCUACGUGGAGUUUACCGCUCACAAAUGAUUAAGUGGGUACUCACUCACAAGGUAUUUUAGAGAGAGACCGAAGCUGUAGCUUGGCUGUUAGCAUCUUCACAAGAACAUUUAUGAUGAUCUAUAUGUACAAAGUUGCUAGGUACAAGUUAUACCUUAGAAAAGGCCUGUAAACACAUUGUCUUACGAAAGUCUCAGGAAAUUUGUGGAGUUUACUUAGAUUCUUUUUGUUGAUCUAUAAAGUAAUGAGGGUUUGGUCCAGGUGAUCUACAGCACAGAAUAUCCAUCCAGAUGGAAGAUAACAUGAUUUUCUCAUCUCUACUUUAGAAGACUGUCAAGUUACUUUCUUUUCUAAGUUUAUAUGGGAAGCAACUGGUAGUGUUGUGCUUGCUCCAAUUCUAAAAAAACUUUCUAGAACUAAAAGUCCCUUCUCAGUAUGUGAAAGCUGUGAGAGUAAUCCUGCAAAGCGCUGUUCUUUAUUUCUGCUCCUAGCUUCAAUGUAAGUGCCAAUGGCCUUGAUAUUUUCAACUAAAUAAACUUUUAACUCACCUACGUUUAUAUUUUCAUAAAAACUAGGAAAUUUAACAUCUUAUAAUCAUUAAUUCAGAAAGUAAAAUUGAUCCAAGAAAGCAGGCACUGCACACACAUGAGACCUCUCUAAAUUUUUAAUGUUGGUAGUAUUUAUUUGUAGAUUUUCUUAAAUAAGACUUUACUCUUUCAAAAUUAUUUUUCUCUCAGUACAAAACCUGUACCCAACUUGCUUUCCCCUUUGAGAGGCACGGUUCAGUGACUACAGAAUUAUUAUUUUUCUGAGACAGAGUCUCACUCUGUCGCCCAGGCUGGAGUGCAGUGGCGCAAUCUCGACUCUCUGCAAGCUCCGCCUCCUGGGUUCACGCCAUUCUCCUAUCUCAGCUUCCCGAGUAGCUGGGACUACAGGCGCCUGCCACCACGCCUGGCUAAUUUUUUUGUAUUUUUAGUAGAGACGGGGUUUCACCGUGUUAGCCAGGAUGGUCUCGAUCUCCUGACCUCGUGAUCUGCCUGCCUCUGCCUCCCAAAGUGCUGGGAUUACAGACAUGAGCCACCAGGCCCGGCCCAGUGACUACAGAAUUAUUAUUAAAAUAUAACUUUCCCAAUCUCUGUUCAAAUAAAAUUAACAUGCAAAUGGAAGGUUAAUUUAUUAAUCAUAUGGAAAAUAUAUAAAGAAUGAAAACUAUGGUGUAGCUUUUACAUGAUUUAUGCAAAGUAUUAACCUUUUAAAUCAGUUAUAUUCAUAUCUCCAUUCACACAGUCACUAAGAAAUUAUUUGCUAUGGUAAACUCUCCAUGCGGUUUGUACAU
rnacentral:lncRNA from 1 species